UACCAGCACCCCGAGUGGUCGGGACGAUUAUUGGGCCUAAAGCAUCCGUAGCCGGUCCUACAAGUCUUCCGUUAAAUCCACCUGCUUAACAGAUGGGCUGCGGAAGAUACUAUAGGCUAGGAGGCGGAGAGGCAAGCGGUACUCGAGUGGGUAGGGUAAAGUACCUCUGAUCCAUUGAAGACCACCAGUGGCGAAGGCGGCUUGCCAGAACGCGCUCGACGGUGAGGAUGAAGCGGGGAGCA
rnacentral:rRNA from 1 species